UUUUAUUUGAGAGUUUGAUCCUGGCUCAGGAUGAACGCUGGCGGCGUGCCUAACACAUGCAAGUUGAGCGAUUUACUUCGGUAAAGAGCGGCGGACGGGUGAGUAACGCGUGGGUAACCUACCCUGUACACACGGAUAACAUCCCGAAAGGUAUGCUAAUACGGGAUAAUAUAUUUGAGAGGCAUCUCUUGAAUAUCAAAGGUGAGCCAGUACAGGAUGGACCCGCGUCUGAUUAGCUAGUUGGUAAGGUAACGGCUUACCAAGGCGACGAUCAGUAGCCGACCUGAGAGGGUGAUCGGCCACAUUGGAACUGAGACACGGUCCAAACUCCUACGGGAGGCAGCAGUGGGGAAUAUUGCACAAUGGGCGAAAG
rnacentral:rRNA from 1 species